UACGGGGGGAGCAAGCGUUGUUCGGAUUUACUGGGCGUAAAGGGCGCGUAGGCGGCCACCGCAAGUCGACUGUGAAAUCUCCGGGCUUAACCCGGAAAGGUCAGCCGAUACUGCGGGGCUAGAGUGCAGAGGGGGCAACUGGAAUUCUCGGUGUAGCGGUGAAAUGCGUAGAUAUCGAGAGGAACACCUGCGGCGAAGGCGGGUUGCUGGGCUGACACUGACGCUGAGGCGCGAAAGCGUGGGGAGCAAACAGG
rnacentral:rRNA from 1 species